rnacentral:rRNA from 1 species
UGACCUCGGAAUCAGG